CCUUCUGAUUGAUUGGAUGGAGCAGUGAGCCGGCGCGUACAUUACUAACUGCACGGCAUCAGGCUGAUGAGCCUGGCAUUUCUUUAGCUGAAAGCGAACGCGCAUUCAUGUAGAGCUAAUGCUUUCUCAAGCUCAAGGGUGAUGGGUGGUCCAAAGAGUUUAUUCAGGCUGUGUUGGAGGAGUAAAGAGGAAGAGAUUUCCCCAACCGACGCGAGUAAGUAAAGUAAGCGUCAAGAGCAGAAGCAGCACCAUUCCAGCCGGCAGCCUGGAGUCUGACUUUCCCUGCACGGCAGGUUAAAGCUUCCUUGAUGAUCAAUGGUGGUACUGGGCCGGUGAAUGCCUGCUGCACCUGGGUGAGAUAAGAAGAUCCAGAUGAAAAGAAGGAAGGAAGGAAAAGGGAAGAGAAGAAGAAGAGGAGGAGGAAAAAUGGAUGGGGGUUCAAGAGGCAGAAUGAGAAAUCUUGGAAGACUUGCAUGAACUGAUGCGGAGCGAAAUGACUAGAACCAAGAGGAUAACUUAUACAAUGACAACCUGUCACUGUAUAUUGUAAAGACAAACAUUUUGGAAGGACUUGGGAACUCCGAUCAACACGACGACCAACCGUAAUUUCAGAGAAUUCGUCAUGAAACGCGCUGUCUACUUCCGAACAGAGAGGUGAAGGAGAACUCGUUGACACAGACUGAGAUUGAGACGGCUGUUUUGUUUUGCUUUUGAUGUGGCCGUCAAAGGGAGUGGUUUUGCUUGACUAUAUGUUUGUAACAGGGAGAUUGUUCUUCUCGCAUUCUCAGUGGAGGUUGAGAGGAAGCAGAAGUGGGAAGAGGAGAAUGUGGACUUGAAAAAGGAAGAAACCCCAGAUCAGCCACUGCUUCUGUUAAACCUGAUCUUCAUUCUCGCCAUGGACUCUGGUCCCCCCUUUUCCUCCCGGACUCUCUUCCUCUCUUAGCUUCACUUUCCUUCCUUCAUAAUCUUGACAUUAAUCAAUUUUUUAAAAAGUAUUUUUCUCCACCAUGGAUUCCCUUGGCCCCAGUGUUCAUGCUGUGCCAAUCCCCAGCCUUGGGCCACCCCUCGCCUCCACCUUCUGUGCCAUGGCUCUUAAGCCAUUCGCUGCCUGUCACUAACAGAGCUCGCAAAACCGUGCUGACUCGGUCCGCCUACUUGGCCCUGCUCGCUGCACAGCAAUCCUCAUUUCCGCUGUGAUUAACUAUCACUCUCCAAGCAACAGCUGUCCUGAGCUUCUUAGCCCCCAGCCACUUCCCCCUAUCCUUCUGCUCAGCAGGCAACGCUGCUUUGCUGAGAAGAUCAAGGCCAUCUGUGAUGACCCAGCGGCCUACUCCCCCUCUCCAACCCCACCUCCCUCUUCAUGAGUCUCCCUCUCACAGCCUCAGAGGAAGAGGCAGCCCUUCCCUCCGAACUUCCCCCUCCCCUUCCCAUCUCCUUUGGAAGCUUGCCCACCAAUCAAUCUCCCUAGGCACUGAGGCCCGCCCCACUCUCUGGCCUCCUUUCCAAAGCUCCCAGGAUCUAUGGUUGAGCAGCGUCCUUAUUUCCUCCAGCAAGCCUGCGCAUGGUGCCCUUGACACUCAGUUAAUGGCCUCUGACUGCUGCCGUGGCCAGAAAAUGAAUGCCCCUGCUAAUGAGUCGGUCCUUGGCCAACACAUGCAGUCUAUUGCCAGGUGCUCAGAGCUUUUCCAGCCCGGCAGGGACGUGCCGUAAACCUGGUUUCAUGGAUGCAGCCUUGGAAAUUCCAAGGGAGGGCCUUCCCCAGCACGCUGAGGAUUCCGCCCAGGCAGGGCGCCCUCGGUCUUAACCUGCCCCCAGAUGCUGCUGUUGCCGGUCCUUCAUUCUCGCAGAGCACCAGUGACAUCAGGGGGGUGACGUCACAACGCCCUGAAUGGGAUGUAAGUGAGGCAGGGCUGUGCACCAUCACCAGCCCCGCGCUCUCCUCCAGAGUCAUCAGAGUCCAGCGGCAAGACGACUCAAGUGUUCGAGACGACUGGUGGUGGUCCAGCUGCUAGGCAUUCACACUUCCUUCUUGUAUCUUUCCUUCUU